AAUGAAGUGCCUGAUAAAAGGAUUAUCUUGAUAGGGUAAAUAAUGUAAUAUGACAAUUACCUUCAUUA
rnacentral:tRNA from 1 species